rnacentral:rRNA from 1 species
GAUUGAACGCUGGCGGCAUGCCUUACACAUGCAAGUCGAACGGCAGCACGGGGGCAACCCUGGUGGCGAGUGGCGAACGGGUGAGUAAUGCAUCGGAACGUGCCCAGUAGUGGGGGAUAACCAGUCGAAAGGCUGGCUAAUACCGCAUACGACCUAAGGGUGAAAGCGGGGGACCGUAAGGCCUCGCGCUAUUGGAGCGGCCGAUGUCUGAUUAGCUAGUUGGCGGGGUAAGAGCCCACCAAGGCGACGAUCCGUAGCUGGUCUGAGAGGACGAUCAGCCACACUGGGACUGAGACACGGCCCAGACUCCUACGGGAGGCAGCAGUGGGGAAUCUUGCGCAAUGGGCGAAAGCCUGACGCAGCAACGCCGCGUGAGCGAAGACGGCCUUCGGGUUGUAAAGCUCUGUCAGGAGGGACGAAGCCACUCAGGUGAAUAGCCGAGAGGGUGACGGUACCUCCAGAGGAAGCCCC